AAUGACAGUGAUGUAGGCAAC
rnacentral:piRNA from 1 species